ensembl:snoRNA snoRNA:lola-b
GCUCGCCCAUAAAACGUGUGGAAAAUGCAUUAAAUAUUCUCCAAACAAUCCUGGCGGUUGCUAAACCAAAGUCCUGUUGAGUUUUUCGCUAACAACGUUUCGUAAAGUGCAAAUUUUGAACGUAGUUUGAUAGUAGAUCUCAGCACAGAAUUUCUCGUAUA